UACGUAGGGUGCAAGCGUUUAAUCGGAAUUACUGGGCGUAAAGCGUGCGCAGGCGGUUUUGUAAGUCUGUCGUGAAAUCCCCGGGCUCAACCUGGGAAUGGCGAUGGAGACUGCAAGGCUAGAGUUUGGCAGAGGGGGGUAGAAUUCCACGUGUAGCAGUGAAAUGCGUAGAUAUGUGGAGGAACACCGAUGGCGAAGGCAGCCCCCUGGGGUCAAAACUGACGCUCAUGCACGAAAGCGUGGGGGAGCAAACAGG
rnacentral:rRNA from 1 species